rnacentral:misc_RNA from 1 species
GAGUUCUGACGUGGGUUGUCGCUGGUCCUCCGGGGCAUGUGCACGCUCAUUGUUCAAUCCACUCUACACCUGUGCACACUAGUAGUUUCUCUAAAGGAUGUAUCGGAAGGCUUCACGGCCGGAAAGUAUGUCUCGCGGGGACUCUGCGUUUUUAUAUACACAUAAAGUCUAGAAUGUAACCUUUGCUAUAAACGCAUUUAAUACAACUUUCAACAACGGAUCUCUUGGCUCU